GACGAACGCUGGCGGCGUGCCUAAUACAUGCAAGUCGAGCGGACCACUUCGGUGGUCAGCGGCGGACGGGUGAGUAACACGUGGGCAACCUGCCUGUAAGACUGGGAUAACACCGGGAAACCGGUGCUAAUACCGGAUAAUCCUUUCCUUCACAUGAGGGAAAGCUGAAAGACGGUUUCGGCUGUCACUUACAGAUGGGCCCGCGGCGCAUUAGCUAGGUGGUGAGGUAACGGCUCACCAAGGCAACGAUGCGUAGCCGACCUGAGAGGGUGAUCGGCCACACUGGGACUGAGACACGGCCCAGACUCCUACGGGAGGCAGUAGUAGGGAAUCUUCCGCAAUGGACGAAAGUCUGACGGAGCAACGCCGCGUGAGCGAUGAAGGCCUUCGGGUCGUAAAGCUCUGUUGUCAGGGAAGAACAAGUACCGGAGUAACUGCCGGUACCUUGACGGUACCUGACCAGAAAGCCACGGCUAACUACGUGCCAGCCGCCGCAGUAA
rnacentral:rRNA from 1 species